GACGAACGCUGGCGGCGUGCUUAACACAUGCAAGUCGAACGAUGAACCACUUCGGUGGGGAUUAGUGGCGAACGGGUGAGUAACACGUGGGCAAUCUGCCCUUCACUCUGGGACAAGCCCUGGAAACGGGGUCUAAUACCGGAUAUCACUUCCACUCGCAUGGGUGGGGGUCGAAAGCUCCGGCGGUGAAGGAUGAGCCCGCGGCCUAUCAGCUUGUUGGUGAGGUAAUGGCUCACCAAGGCGACGACGGGUAGCCGGCCUGAGAGGGCGACCGGCCACACUGGGACUGAGACACGGCCCAGACUCCUACGGGAGGCAGCAGUGGGGAAUAUUGCACAAUGGGCGAAAGCCUGAUGCAGCGACGCCGCGUGAGGGAUGACGGCCUUCGGGUUGUAAACCUCUUUCAGCAGGGAAGAAGCGAAAGUGACGGUACCUGCAGAAGAAGCGCCGGCUAACUACGUGCCAGCAGCCGCGGUAAUACGUAGGGCGCAAGCGUUGUCCGGAAUUAUUGGGCGUAAAGAGCUCGUAGGCGGUCUGUCGCGUCGGAUGUGAAAGCCCGGGGCUUAACCCCGGGUCUGCAUUCGAUACGGGCAGACUAGAGUGUGGUAGGGGAGAUCGGAAUUCCUGGUGUAGCGGUGAAAUGCGCAGAUAUCAGGAGGAACACCGGUGGCGAAGGCGGAUCUCUGGGCCAUUACUGACGCUGAGGAGCGAAAGCGUGGGG
rnacentral:rRNA from 1 species